rnacentral:rRNA from 1 species
GAGGCACUACGGUGCUGAAGUAACAAAUGCCCUGCUUCCAGGAAAAGCCUCUAAGCAUCAGGUAACAUCAAAUCGUACCCCAAACCGACACAGGUGGUCAGGUAGAGAAUACCAAGGCGCUUGAGAGAACUCGGGUGAAGGAACUAGGCAAAAUGGUGCCGUAACUUCGGGAGAAGGCACGCUGAUAUGUAGGUGAAGCGACUUGCUCGUGGAGCUGAAAUCAGUCGAAGAUACCAGCUGGCUGCAACUGUUUAUUAAAAACACAGCACUGUGCAAACACGAAAGUGGACGUAUACGGUGUGACGCCUGCCCGGUGCCGGAAGGUUAAUUGAUGGGGUCAGCGCAAGCGAAGCUCUUGA